GGUGGCUCAGUAGUAGAGUGCUUGCCUUGCAUGCAAGAAGCCCUGGGUUCAAUUCCUCAGCACCA
rnacentral:tRNA from 1 species